rnacentral:rRNA from 1 species
UACGUAGGGUGCGAGCGUUAAUCGGAAUUACUGGGCGUAAAGCGUGCGCAGGCGGUUCGUUGUGUCGGCGGUGAAAGCCCCGGGCUUAACCUGGGAAUGGCCGUUGAAACUGGCGAACUGGAGUGUGGCAGAGGGGGGUGGAAUUCCUGGUGUAGCAGUGAAAUGCGUAGAUAUCAGGAGGAAUACCGAUGGCGAAGGCAGGUCUCUGGGCUGACACUGACGCUCAUGCACGAAAGCGUGGGGAGCAAACAGG